rnacentral:rRNA from 1 species
AAAUUGAAAUUGGGCUUUGGGUCCGAAUUGUAAUUUGUAGAAGCAGCUUUGGGUGCGGCUCCGGUCUAAGUUCCUUGGAACAGGACGUCAUAGAGGGUGAGAAUCCCGUAUGUGACUGGCAGCCUGCGCCCGUGUAAAGCGCUUUCGACGAGUCGAGUUGUUUGGGAAUGCAGCUCAAAAUGGGUGGUAAAUUUCAUCUAAAGCUAAAUAUUGGCCAGAGACCGAUAGCGCACAAGUAGAGUGAUCGAAAGAUGAAAAGCACUUUGGAAAGAGAGUCAAAUAGUACGUGAAAUUGUUGAAAGGGAAGCGCUUGCAACCAGACUUGCGGGCCGUGAUCAACUGGGGUUCUCCCCGGCGCACUCGCGGCUCUCAGGCCAGCAUCGGUUCGGGCGGUGGGAUAAAGGCCUUGGGAAUGUAGCUCCUCCGGGAGUGUUAUAGCCCUCGGUGCAAUGCCGCCAGCCUGGACCGAGGACCGCGCUUCGGCUAGGAUGCUGGCGUAAUGGUUGUAAGCGACCCGUCUUGAAACACGGACCAAGGAGUCUAACAUCUAUGCGAGUGUUUGGGUGUCAAACCCAUACGCGUAAUGAAAGUGAACGGAGGUGAGAACCCUUUAGGGUGCAUCAUCGACCGAUCCUGAUGUCUUCGGAUGGAUUUGAGUAAGAGCAUAGCUGUUGGGACCCGAAAGAUGGUGAACUAUGCCUAAAUAGGGUGAAGCCAGAGGAAACUCUGGUGGAGGCUCGCAGCGGUUCUGACGUGCAAAUCGAUCGUCAAAUUUGGGUAUAGGGGCGAAAGACUAAUCGAACCAUUACACCUACUAGGUGGUUGAGAGGCCGGCCCUGCCGGCCUAGUGACCUUGGGUCGCUACACUAACAAAUUACGGGGACUUCCCGCUGAAGCACCGCUACCGCAGCCGUGGGGAAACCCUCGGCGAGCACCGGGUUAACGGCCCUGGGGAUGGUAAGAGCGCGGUGUGGAGGGAUGACCUGUAGCCAAGCCCUGUCAGAUGGGUGCAGCUCACAGACUAAAUGUUGGUGGGCGCCGCU